CCACCUACAGCGCCGAGCUCCAUCCGAUAGGCGGGGACACCGUAAGGAUGGAGGCGGGGGACCCACCGGUCCACCGUGAUCGGACCGGAGCCGGAAACGGCUCCUUGGGGUGAAGCCGGCGUCGGAACACGGCGCCGGCCGGGUAGCCUCUCCCACCCGAACCCGACAGCUGACCUCGCAGGCGCACCGAGAGAGGAAUU
rnacentral:sRNA from 1 species